GACGAACGCUGGCGGCGUGCCUAAUACAUGCAAGUCGAACGCAGUGGGGACGGGUGAGUAACACGUGGGUAACCUCCCAUCAGAGGGGAUAACACUUGGAAACAGGUGCUAAACCGAUACUGAUGGAUGGACCCGCGGUGGAUUAGCUAGGUGGUGGGGUAACGGCUCACCAAGGCCACGAUGCAUAGCUGGUCUGAGAGGGUGAGCGGCCACACUGUAACUGAGACAAGGCCCAGACUCCUACGGGAGGCAGCAGUAGGGAAUAUUCGGCAAUGGGCGAAAGUCUGACCGAGCAACGCCGCGUGUGUGAAGAAGGUUUUCGGAUCGUAAAACUCUGUUGGUAGAGAAGCGGUAUCUAACCAGAAAGCCACGGCUAACUACGUGCCAGCAGCCGCGGUAAUAC
rnacentral:rRNA from 1 species